CCUACGGGAGGCAGCAGUGAGGAAUAUUGGUCAAUGGGCGAGAGCCUGAACCAGCCAAGUAGCGUGAAGGAUGACUGCCCUAUGGGUUGUAAACUUCUUUUAUAUGGGAAUAAAGUGCAGUAUGUAUACUGCUUUGCAUGUACCUUAUGAAUAAGGAUCGGCUAACUCCGUGCCAGCAGCCGCGGUAAUACGGAGGAUCCGAGCGUUAUCCGGAUUUAUUGGGUUUAAAGGGAGCGUAGAUGGGUUGUUAAGUCAGUUGUGAAAGUUUGCGGCUCAACCGUAAAAUUGCAAUUGAUACUGGCAGUCUUGAGUACAGUUGAGGUAGGCGGAAUUCGUGGUGUAGCGGUGAAAUGCUUAGAUAUCACGAAGAACCCCGAUUGCGAAGGCAGCUUACUAAACUGUGACUGACAUUGAUGCUCGAAAGUGUGGGUAUCAAA
rnacentral:rRNA from 1 species